rnacentral:rRNA from 1 species
GAUGAACGCUGGCGGCGUGCCUAAUACAUGCAAGUCGAGCGAACAGAUGAGGAGCUUGCUCCUCUGACGUUAGCGGCGGACGGGUGAGUAACACGUGGAUAACCUACCUAUAAGACUGGGAUAACUUCGGGAAACCGGAGCUAAUACCGGAUAAUAUAUUGAACCGCAUGGUUCAGUAGUGAAAGACGGUUUUGCUGUCACUUAUAGAUGGAUCCGCGCCGCAUUAGCUAGUUGGUAAGGUAACGGCUUACCAAGGCAACGAUGCGUAGCCGACCUGAGAGGGUGAUCGGCCACACUGGAACUGAGACACGGUCCAGACUCCUACGGGAGGCAGCAGUAGGGAAUCUUCCGCAAAGGGCGAAAGCCUGACGGAGCAACGCCGCGUGAGUGAUGAAGGUCUUCGGAUCGUAAAACUCUGUUAUUAGGGAAGAACAAAUGUGUAAGUAACUAUGCACGUCUUGACGGUACCUAAUCAGAAAGCCACGGCUAACUACGUG